UGGGGCAUCUUGGACAAUGGGGGCAACCCUGAUCCAGCGACGCCGCGUGGGUGGUAAGGCCUUCGGGUUGUAAAGCCCUUUCACCGGGGAAGAUGAUGACAUUACCCGGAGAAGAAGCGCCGGCUAACUCCGUGCCAGCAGGCGCGGUAAGACGGAGGGCGCUAGCGUUGUUCGGAAACACUGGGCGUAAAGGGCGCGUAGGCGGCGUCUUAAGUCGGAGGUGAAAGCCCGGAGCUCAACUUCGGAACGGCCUUCGAGACUGGGGCGCUAGAGACCGGAAGAGGAGGGUGGAAUACCCAGUGUAGAGGUGAAAUUCGUAGAUAUUGGGUGGAACACCAGUGGCGAAAGCGGCUCUCUGGUCCGGAUCUGACGCUGAGGCGCGAAAGCGUGGGGAGCAAACAGGAUUAGAUACCCCCGUAGUCC
rnacentral:rRNA from 1 species